rnacentral:misc_RNA from 1 species
GAUGAAGAACGUAGCGAAAUGCGAUAAGUAGUGUGAAUUGCAGAAUUCAGUGAAUCAUCGAAUCUUUGAACGCACAUUGCGCCCCUUGGUAUUCCAUGGGGCAUGCCUGUUCGAGCGUCAUUUGUACCUUCAAGCUUUGCUUGGUGUUGGGUGUUUGUCUCGCCUUUGCGUGUAGACUCGCCUUAAAAUAAUUGGCAGCCGGCGUAUUGAUUUCGGAGUGCAGUACAUCUCGCGCUUUGCACUCAUAACGACAGCGUCCAAAAGUACAUUUUACACUCUUGACCUCGGAUCAGGUAGGGAUACCCGCUGAACUUAAGCAUAUCAAUAAGCGGAGGA